UGGUGGCGGGAGCUUGCCAAAGAUUGCUUUGUUGGUGGUGCAGGGAGCCAGGAGGUUGUUUGUUUGCUGUGCGGCCCGUGAAGUUGGAAGUUUGUGUCGGUAGUGCGAAAACGUGAGCAAUUUGGGGCUUAUCGAUCAUUAAGCCGCAUGCAAGGUGCCUACGUUGUCUUUUGGGAGUUUGCUGGGUGAACCCUGAGUAACACGGGAAGUGUCUGGAUCGCAGCUGAUAUACUGCACUGAGCUGCCGACACGCGCAUUUAAUCCUUCCUACAGAAGCACG